GUUGGUAAAUGUUGAAUUUUACCAAGGUAAAAAAAAAAACUCUUAGCAAAAAGAAAUAGCAAAAUUCCUUCAUAGAAAAGGGAUAUACAUUUUAAAAAUCUACUGUAAGCUCACAUAAUUCUAACACACUGAAAGUUCACCCUUUAAGUUAGGAAUAAGACAAGAAUGUUUGCUGUCAUCAUGUUAAUUCCACAUUGCUGGAGAUCCUAGUCAGUGCAGUAAGCAAGAAAAAUAUAGUAAUAUAUAAGUACUUGAAAGAGAAACUAAAUUGUCAUUACCCACAGAUACUAUGAUUAUUUGUAAAGGAAAUAGAAA
rnacentral:lncRNA from 1 species